GGGGGCUAUUGGGAUUGUGGGGGAAGCCUGAUGCCAGCACAUGCCGCGUGCGGGAUGAAGGCCUUCGGGUUGUAAACUGCUUUUGUCCGGGACGAAAGGGUCCUUUCUAAUACAUUGGGGGUAUGAUGGUAUCCGUACCAAUAAGUCACCGGCUAACUACGUGCCACGUAGCCGCGGUAGUACUUAGGGUGCGAGCGUUAAUCUGAGUUACUGGGCGUCAAACGUGCGCAAGCGGUUCUCUAAUACAAAUGUGAAAUCCCCGUGCUCAACCUGCUAACGGCCUUCGUGACUGGAGUACUUGAGAGCGGGACAGGGUGAUGGAAUUACAUGUGUAACACUGAAAUGCGUGAAUGUGCACAGGAACACCGAUGGCGAAGGUGAUCCCCUGGACCUGCUCUGGCACUCAUGCUCGAAAGCCUGGGGAGCAAACAGGAUUAGAUACCCUGGUUGUCCACCCCCUAAACCAUGUCAACUGGCCGUUGGGUACGUUGUCACUCACUACCCAGGCUAACUCCUGAAUGUGACCGACUGUGGAAUCG
rnacentral:rRNA from 1 species